rnacentral:rRNA from 1 species
AUCCUUGGGAUACCACCCUUGUAGUACUGGGACUCUAACCAUAGGCCAUGAAUCUGGUCUUGGGACACUGUCAGGUGGGCAGUUUGACUGGGGCGGUCGCCUCCCAAAAGGUAACGGAGGCGCUCAACGGUUCUCUCAGUACGGUCGGAAAUCGUACGUAGAGUGUAAAGGCAAAAGAGAGCUUGAUUGCAAGACAUACAGGUCGAGCAAGGAUGAAAAUCGGACUUAGGGAUCCGGUGGUUCUGCGUGGAAGGGCCAUCGCUCAACGGAUAAAAGCUACCCUGGGGAUAACAGGCUUAUCUCCCCCAAGAGUCCACAUCGACGGGGAGGUUUGGCACCUCGAUGUCGGCUCAUCACAUCCUGGGGCUGUAGUAGGUCCCAAGGGUUGGGCUGUUCGCCCAUUAAAGUGGUACGCG